CUGGGACUGAGACACGGCCCAGACUCCUACGGGAGGCAGCAGUGGGGAAUUUUCCGCAAUGGGCGAAAGCCUGACGGAGCAAGACCGCGUGCGGGAGGAAGGUCUAUUGAUUGUAAACCGCUUUUGAUAGGGAAGAAGAUCUGACGGUACCUAUCGAAUCAGCAUCGGCUAACUCCGUGCCAGCAGCCGCGGUAAUACGGGGGAUGCAAGCGUUAUCCGGAAUUAUUGGGCGUAAAGCGUCCGUAGGUGGUUUUAAAAGUCUGUUGUCAAAUCGCGAGGCUUAACCUCGUACAGGCAGUGGAAACUAUAAGACUAGAGUGCGGUAGGGGUAGAGGGAAUUUCCAGUGUAGCGGUGGAAUGCGUAGAUAUUGGAAAGAACACCGGUGGCGAAGGCGCUCUACUGGGCCUGCACUGACACUGAGGGACGAAAGCUAGGGGAGCGAAAGGGAUUAGAUACCCCAGUAGUCCUAGCCGUAAACGAUGGAUACUAGGCGUGGCUUG
rnacentral:rRNA from 1 species